UUACUUAAGUUCCUGUCACCACCACUUCUGACAGAAGAUUGUCCAGUCCCUCCUGACAGUGAAAAUGGAGCAUCACUUAAGAUCCUGUCACCACCACUUCUGACAGAAGAUUGUCCAGUCCCUCCUGACAGUGAAAAUGGAGCAUCACUUAAGAUCCUGUCACCACCACUUCUGACAGAAGAUUGUCCAGUCCC